GACGAACGCUGGCGGCGGGCUUAACACAUGCAAGUCGAACGGAAAGGCCCUGCUUUUGUGGGGUGCUCGAGUGGCGAACGGGUGAGUAACCCGUGAGUAACCUGCACUUGACUGUGGGAUAACUUCAGGAAACUGGGGCUAUUCCCGGAUAGGAGCUCCUGCUGCAUGGUGGGGGUUGGUAAGUUUCGGUGGUUGGGGAUGUACUCGCGGCUUAUCAGCUUGUUGGUGGGGUAGUGGCUUAGCAAGGCUUUGAGGGGUAGCCGGCCUGCGAGGGUGACCGGCUCCAUUACGACUGGAAUGCGACCCAGACUACUACGGGAGGCGAGAGUGGGGAAGGUUACACAGCGGGCGGGGGGCAGGUGCGACAACGCCGCGUGGGGGAUAUGGUCCAUCUGUUUGGAUAGCGCUUUUGUCUGAGACGAGGCGAGAGUGACGGUAAUGGGUGAAGAAGCACCGGCUAACUACGUG
rnacentral:rRNA from 1 species